UACGUAGGGUGCAAGCGUUGUCCGGAAUUAUUGGGCGUAAAGGGCUCGUAGGCGGUCCAUCACGUCGGGAGUGAAAAGCUGGGGCUUAACCCCAGUCCUGCUUCCGAUACGGGUGGACUAGAGGUAGGCAGGGGAGAACGGAAUUCCUGGUGUAGCGGUGAAAUGCGCAGAUAUCAGGAGGAACACCGGUGGCGAAGGCGGGUCUCUGGGCCGUACUGACGUCUGAGGAGCGAAAGCGUGGGGAGCAAACAGG
rnacentral:rRNA from 1 species